GUGGCAGAGCCAAUCUGAAGCGGAAGCUGUCCUUACACACACACACGCCGUGUGAGAGGGGAUUUUUCUCGUGUGCAGAAGGUCCUGACAGCAAACCCACACGUCAAGGGAAGCGAAGAGAAGAUGAAGGCUGAAAAAAUUCAGGAAGCUAUUAUAUACCGGAAGCCUGCGACAUCUGACGUCUGUGAGGAAAUCAAUAGGUGUGAAGAAGAUAACAGGGCUCCAUGCGAGAGGAUUGCCUGGACUUCUGUACAAGUUCACCGAAUCCUCUGGAGACCCCCUGUUGGCUACAGCAAGAGAGGUGAAUGUGCUGAGUUGUAAUCCAGCGUAAUCCUGUGAGGACGAAUAUGGUUUUCACGCUCGCAAAUGGAUGGCUACAGGCAGCCGCCAGGCAGCUAGCACACAACCACAGAGCCACGGGGUCUAAACCUGCUUUCUCCCCGCUAAGUCUGCAAU